rnacentral:rRNA from 1 species
CCCUUAGAGUUUGAUCCUGGCUCAGAAUCAACGCUGGCGGCGUGCCUCAGACAUGCAAGUCGAACGAUUAAACUCUUCUUCGGAAGAGAUAUAGAGUGGCGCACGGGUGAGUAACACGUAGGUAAUUUACCUCUGGGUGGGGAAUUACUUGGGGAAACCCAAGCUAAUACCGCAUAAUGCAGCGGCUCCUAAUGGAGACAGUUGUUAAAGCUUUAGUGCCUGGAGAGAAGCCUGCGGCGGAUUAGCUAGUUGGUAAGGUAAUGGCUUACCAAGGCGACGAUCCGUAUCCGGUCUAAGAGGACGGUCGGACACACUGACACUGAAUAACGGGUCAGACUCCUACGGGAGGCAGCAGUCGGGAAUUUUGGGCAAUGGGCGAAAGCCUGACCCAGCAACGCCGCGUGAAGGAUGAAGUAUUUCGGUAUGUAAACUUCGGAAGAAUGGGAAGAAUAAAUGACGGUACCAUUUUUAAGCCCCGGCUAACUCCGUGCCAGCAGCCGCGGUAAUACGGAGGGGGCAAGCGUUGUUCGGAUUUACUGGGCGUAAAGGGCGCGUAGGCGGCGCAACAAGUCACUUGUGAAAUCUCCGGGCUUAACUCGGAACUGCCAAGUGAUACUGUCGUGCUAGAGUGCAGAAGGGGCAAUCGGAAUUCUUGGUGUAGCGGUGAAAUGCGUAGAUAUCAAGAGGAACACCAGAGGCGAAUGCGGAUUGCUGGGCUGACACUGACGCUGAG